rnacentral:rRNA from 1 species
UAUUGGGCGUAAGCGCGCGCAGGUGGUUCUUUAAGUCUGAUGUGAAAGCCCACGGCUCAACCGUGGAGGGUCAUUGGAAACUGGGGAACUUGAGUGCAGAAGAGGAAAGUGGAAUUCCACGUGUAGCGGUGAAAUGCGUAGAGAUGUGGAGGAACACCAGUGGCGAAGGCGACUUUCUGGUCUGUAACUGACACUGAGGCGCGAAAGCGUGGGGAGCGAACAGGAUUAGAUACCCUGGUAGUCCACGCCGUAAACGAUGAGUGCUAAGUGUUAGAGGGUUUCCGCCCUUUAGUGCUGCAGCUAACGCAUUAAGCACUCCGCCUGGGGAGUACGGCCGCAAGGCUGAAACUCAAAGGAAUUGACGGGGGCCCGCACAAGCGGUGGAGCAUGUGGUUUAAUUCGAAGCAACGCGAAGAACCUUACCAGGUCUUGACAUCCUCUGACAACCCUAGAGAUAGGGCCUUCCCCUUUUGGGGGACAGAGUGACAGGUGGUGCAUGGUUGUCGUCAGCUCGUGUCGUGAGAUGUUGGGUUAAGUCCCGCAACGAGCGCAACCCUUGAUCU